UAAUUAUGAAAUCAAUCGCUGCAUUAAUUUAAAAAAAAAUUAAAAUUUUAUCAAGAUUUUGUUAGACUGUUUCCAACAUAUUUUGUUAUAAGUAAAAAUAAAAUUUAAAUUUGCAGUUAAAAUUUAUUUAUUAUUAUCUAUAUAAUUUAUAAUAUUUUCUCAAAAUGUUAUAUAUUAAAUAGAUUAACUUAAAUAAUCAAAUAGAUGUUAUUGAUGAAAUAUACCUAGUAUGAUUUUUUUAUGGUAUUUCUUUUAAUAAAGAAGAUAUAUAAUAUAAUUAUAAAAUUUUAAAAUAGCAUACAAUUUUAUUUAAUUUUUUUUAUAAUAAAAUCUUAUUUAAAUUAAUGUAUAAUAGUAUAUAUUAUUAAUUAUGAAAUUAAUCAAUAGUAUUAAUUUGAAUAAAAUAUUUUUCAUUUUUAGGAAGAUCUUGUUAGAUUUUUUCUCAAUAUUUUGUUAUAACUAAAAAUAAAAUUUAAAUUUACAGUUAAAAUUGAUUUAUUAUUAAUAUCUUUAUAUAUUUAAUAGAUUAAUGUAAAUAAUUAAAUAAAUCUAAUUAAUGAAAUGAACCUAAUAAAACUAGUAUGACUUUUUAUGGUAGAUAAAAAUGGUACUUCUCUUUUAAUAGAGAAGAUAUAUACUAGAAAAGGUUGAACGAUGAAUUUGUAAAUCUAAGAGUACAUCGAGAGUGAUAGGCUGAUAUCAUUGUGACAAGAACAUGUUACUGGAAUUGUAUGAUAAAUACACAUAACACAGAGCAUACAACAAAGCCGACGAGUUAUACUAACCCGCGGAGUCCAAAGCCUACGGAUAAAAAAUAAUACUUGGAGACAAAAUACGUGAUAAUUUGGAAGCUUAAAUUCAAUGCUAAAAUAAAAGCUAGCAACAAAAGUGAAGAAGAUGAUGGAAACUCCAUAACAACAAAAGACUCUAAUUCCAAAACGGCUCUUUGAUAUAGUGAAAUCGAACUAGAGACCUUCCAUAGUGCAUAGCAAGCGGAUUAAGCAAAGAACCAAAGCUUAGAUAGACAACUACUCUUGUGACUUGUCGUGUAAAUAUUUGCAUCUUUUCAUGUGCAUCAAUAUUACACCAAUAUUUAUACUCCAAAUUAUUUCUUUGAAGUUUGAACACUCUUAUUGCUUUUGUUUGGAAGGGACUGAAACGAAAAACAACCCAAAUUUGACGGUGCGCCACAACACAAUUCUAUCUUAUUGAAUCAAUCUCUAUAAUGGGCUUUAUCAAUCGUAGGCCCAUUAUUCGCCAAGCCCAUUCGUGUCUCCCAAAACCUGAACCCUGGGUUUUGUCCAAACGCCUCCACCUUUGGCAAAAAUCUCCGCUUUCUUACUACAAGAAAACUUGUUUAUAGCCACGACUCAGCCACAAACAUUUUAUGGCGAGAGAAAUAUAGCCACAAAAUAUCCGUAGAAUAACUACAACAAAUUUUUGUGGCUAUUAUGUAGCUUUUUGUCACUAUUUAGCUAUAAAAUAUGUUUUGUAGCUAUUUAAAGACACAUAGCCACAAUUAGCUACAAUAUAAAUUGUGGAAGUAAAUAUCCACAAUUUUCCACGGUAUAAUGUGUAGGCAAUUUAGCCACAACAGUUUCCGUAGCUAUCCGAAGAAAUGAAAUUUUAAAAUAUUUAAAUUAAUUACAAACUU